UACAGAGGUCCCAAGCGUUGUUCGGAUUCACUGGGCGUAAAGGGUGCGUAGGUGGUGAGGUAAGUCGGAUGUGAAAUCUCGGAGCUCAACUCCGAAAUGGCAUUGGAAACUACCUCGCUAGAGGAUCGGAGGGGAGACUGGAAUUCUCGGUGUAGCAGUGAAAUGCGUAGAUAUCGUGAGGAAGACCAGUGGCGUAAGCGAAUCUCUGGACAGUUCCUGACGCUGAGGCACGAAGGCCAGGGGAGCAAACGGG
rnacentral:rRNA from 1 species